GGUUUCUGGGAGUGCUAUAUGGAGAAGUCUAUGACCAUGACGUUCAAGAUCAGUCACAUCAAAUUGAUAUCUUCCACGGUCUAGAAGCAUCAAGUAACACUUUGCAUUUCACCGGCCAUCUCUUCUGAUUCAUUGUCAAACUUUUGGGAGUAUCACAAAGAAAGAGAAGUGGUGGUUGUCACUACUGAGAAUGAGGACAGAGAAAAGGCCACACUGUGUUUGGCACAAGGAGAGCCCUUCAGUCCUCUGGGACAGCAGAUAUUGAGAGUGACAGGAAGAUCUGGGGCCGGAGAGUUUUCAUAUCUGCUUCCAAGACAGCCUGCUUUGCUUUCUUCAUUAAGCCAAAGAUGUGCAGAAAAGAUGUUCCACUGAAAGUAUUCAAAGUGCCUUCAUGUGUUGUCUAAUUCUUUUUCCUGCUCUUAUAAAGGAAACACUAUUCGAUAGCAAUCACCUAAGAAAGGAAGGGCUGAGUGUUUCCGUCAUUCUUCCAUUGUAUUUUAAUUUUUUCUUUUACUUUUUCACUUCCACUCUGGUAUCAUGUGUAUAUGAAUCAUUGCACAUUUAUGCAAUUAAUCAUUAAUUGUUUCAAUAGUAUUUUCUAUUUUAAAAAGCAUUACAUAUUCCAACUAAUCAAAAUCACAGUUACUCCUGAGAAUUUAAACAACAUGGAGAUAAAAUAAAGAAGGAGAGGUCUUAAGAUGCUUUAUAUAAUGCAUGGGCAUAACCAUGGCUAAUGGUCUGGAAGACAUCUUUCCAGACUUAUGUUUAUAUAUACAUAAAACAAAAAUGGGACCAUAUAUUGUGGAUACCAUGCAGCUGUUUCCUUUGUUCCCUUAAUAUAUCAGACAUAUCUUUUAAGAUUUUAUUUACUUAUUUAUUUUAGAUAGAGUGCAUGUGCAUGCACACACCAGUGGGGAGACGGGCAGAGGGAAAGGGGGAAGGACAAGCAGGCUCCUCGCUAUCUGACAUCUUUCCCCUUUACCUAAUUUAUCCUCAUGCUAGUUUCCCUGGAAGAUGCCACUAGGAAAUGCCCUCUUGUCAUUUAUUUCUUUUUACCCUGCCAUAGUCUGCAGAGGGUUGCUGCUAUGAAAAGAGCUCUGAGAGGGGCUCCCAACUGGCUCCAUUGGUAGAGCACAUGACUCCUGCUCUUGAUAUUGUGAGCUUGAGCCUCAUGU